AUACGGAGGGUCCGAGCGUUAUCCGGAAUCAUUGGGUUUAAAGGGUCCGUAGGCGGGAAUCUAAGUCAGUGGUGAAAUCUUGCAGCUCAACUGUAAAAUUGCCAUUGAUACUGGAUUUCUUGAAUUAGUGUGAAGUGGUUAGAAUGUGUAGUGUAGCGGUGAAAUGCAUAGAUAUUACACAGAAUACCAAUUGCGAAGGCAGAUCACUAACACUAUAUUGACGCUAAGGGACGAAAGCGUGGGGAGUGAACAGGAUUAGAAACCCCGGUAGUCC
rnacentral:rRNA from 1 species